rnacentral:rRNA from 1 species
CGCGGCCUAUCAGCUUGUUGGUGGGGUAACGGCCUACCAAGGCGACGAUCGGUAGCUGGUGUGAGAGCAUGACCAGCCACACUGGGACUGAGACACGGCCCAGACUCCUACGGGAGGCAGCAGUGGGGAAUCUUGCGCAAUGGGCGAAAGCCUGACGCAGCGACGCCGCGUGCGGGAAGAAGGCCUUCGGGUUGUAAACCGCUUUCAGGAGGGACGAAGCCACUCGGGUUAAUAGCCCAGAGGGUGACGGUACCUCCAGAAGAAGCCCCGGCUAACUACGUGCCAGCAGCCGCGGUAAUACGUAGGGGGCAAGCGUUGUCCGGAUUUAUUGGGCGUAAAGCGCGUGUAGGCGGCCACACAGGUCCGCUGUGAAAACUGGAGGCUCAACCUCCAGAGGUCGGUGGAAACCGUGUGGCUAGAGUCCGGAAGAGGAGACUGGAAUUCCCGGUGUAGCGGUGAAAUGCGCAGAUAUCGGGAAGAACACCCGUGGCGAAGGCGGGUCUCUGGGACGGUACUGACGCUGAGACGCGAAAGCGUGGGGAGCGAACAGGAUUAGAUACCCUGGUAGUCCACGCCGUAAACGAUGGGCACUAGGUGUGGGAGGUGUCGACUCCUUCCGUGCCGAAGCUAACGCAUUAAGUGCCCCGCCUGGGGAGUACGG